CUACGUAGGGUGCGAGCGUUGUCCGGAAUUACUGGGCGUAAAGAGCUCGUAGGUGGUUUGUCGCGUCGUCUGUGAAAUUCCGGGGCUUAACUCCGGGCGUGCAGGCGAUACGGGCAUAACUUGAGUACUGUAGGGGAGACUGGAAUUCCUGGUGUAGCGGAGAAAUGCGCAGAUAUCAGGAGGAACACCGGUGGCGAAGGCGGGUCUCUGGGCAGUAACUGACGCUGAGGAGCGAAAGCAUGGUUAGCGACCAGGAUUAGAUACCCUGGUAGUCCAUGCCGUAAACGGUGGGCGCUAGGUGUAGGGGUCUUCCACGACUUCUGUGCCGUAGCUAACGCAUUAAGCGCCCCGCCUGGGGAGUACGGCCGCAAGGCUAAAACUCAAAUGAAUUGACGGGG
rnacentral:rRNA from 1 species